GAGGCAAGUCACUUCUGAGAUGGUGAAAUAAACGGUGCCUCUCCAUUAAUGUCAGCAUUCUCAGUCUCUAUAUAUGUUCUUUUUAAACCUUAACAGCACCAGCCUCCUAAUAGUAACUCUCUGUGCAAACCCUGCUGGGAUGUGACGUCCUUCUCUGACAGAAGUAGUCAUGGGAGUUGCUGAUGGACAGUCACGGUGAAUGUUCCUCAGCAGUCCAAGCAGGAUGUUUUUACAAAUCUCUUGCUGAAAGUCUCAGAUCUGCUGUUUUUCCUCAUGAGAAUUGCAGACGGGAAGGCGGAUCGUUGCAGCUCAAGUUUAAAGCAGCAAGUAGCAAGUCAAGAUCCCUCAGAAGAUAGAUCACCACUUGGAAGGAGCCAUGACACUGAGUCUCUGCGCUUACUCCGCACUCUGGAACGGGCCCUGCUCUUUGGUUCUGCCCCUCUGGUAAGUCUCUCCACCCCAGGCAAGACAGUGGAAGAUGCUUCUGGGAGAAAAGCACCUUGAAGAUAAUUCUCUUUCUUCUCACAAUGAGUUACCUAAAUAUCGCUGCUCUAGUGUUUGGCUGGUUUCAGGUUUGCAGAGCUAUAAAAUAUCUGAUCAUCCCAGAGGUGUGGGAGGAGCUGAAGGACAUCUCUUACUUUUGAUGAAGCACCCA
rnacentral:lncRNA from 1 species